rnacentral:rRNA from 1 species
UACGGGGGGGGCAAGCGUUGUUCGGAAUUACUGGGCGUAAAGGGCGCGUAGGCGGCCUUCUAAGUCAGACGUGAAAUCCCUCGGCUCAACCGAGGAACUGCGUCUGAUACUGGAAGGCUUGAAUCCGGGAGAGGGAUGUGGAAUUCCAGGUGUAGCGGUGAAAUGCGUAGAUAUCUGGAGGAACACCGGUGGCGAAGGCGGCAUCCUGGACCGGUAUUGACGCUGAGGCGCGAAAGCUAGGGGAGCGAACGGG